rnacentral:rRNA from 1 species
UGCGGAGGGUGCAAGCGUUAUCCGGAUUCACUGGGUUUAAAGGGUGCGUAGGUGGGUUGGUAAGUCAGUGGUGAAAUCUCCGAGCUUAACUUGGAAACUGCCAUUGAUACUAUCAGUCUUGAAUAUUGUGGAGGUCAGCGGAAUAUGUCAUGUAGCGGUGAAAUGCUUAGAUAUGACAUAGAACACCAAUUGCGAAGGCAGCUGGCUACUCAUAUAUUGACACUGAGGCACGAAAGCGUGGGGAUCAAACAGG